rnacentral:rRNA from 1 species
UACGUAGGUGGCAAGCGUUGUCCGGAAUUAUUGGGCGUAAAGCGCGCGCAGGCGGUCUCUUAAGUCUGAUGUGAAGCCCACGGCUCAACCGUGGAGGUCAUUGGAAACUGGGGACUUGAGUACAGGAAGAGGAAAGCGGAAUUCCACGUGUAGCGGUGAAAUGCGUAGAGAUGUGGAGAACACCAGUGGCGAAGGCGGCUUCUGGUCUGUAACUGACGCUGAGGCGACGAAAGCGUGGGGAGCAAACAGG